rnacentral:tRNA from 1 species
GGUCCCGUAGCUCAGUUGGACAGAGCGUCAGCCUUCUAAGCUGAAUGUCACAGGUUCGAAUCCUGUCGGGAUCGCCA